AUACUGACCCGCUUGGGCAUCCAAGCGGUUCGAAAGCUCCGGCGGUGCAGGAUGAGCCCGCGGCCUAUCAGCUUGUUGGUGAGGUAAUGGCUCACCAAGGCGACGACGGGUAGCCGGCCUGAGAGGGCGACCGGCCACACUGGGACUGAGACACGGCCCAGACUCCUACGGGAGGCAGCAGUGGGGAAAUUGCACAAUGGGAUAAAUCCUGAUGCAGCGACGCCGCGUGAGGGAUGACGGCCUUCCGGUUGUAAACCUCUUUCAGCAGGGAAUAAGCGAAAGUGACGGUACCUGCCGAAGAACCGCCGCCCAACUACGUGCCAGCAGCCGCGGUAAUAAGUAGGGCGCGAGCGUUGUCAGGAAUUAUUGAGGCGUAGAAAGCUCGUAGGAGCUUUUCAAUUAGGUUCUGAAACCCCUGGG
rnacentral:rRNA from 1 species